rnacentral:rRNA from 1 species
AAUGAACGCUAGCGGCAGGCCUAACACAUGCAAGUCGAACGAAGUCUUCGGACUUAGUGGCGGACGGGUGAGUAACACGUGGGAACGUACCUUUUGGUUCGGAACAACUCAGGGAAACUUGAGCUAAUACCGGAUGAGCCCUUAGGGGGAAAGAUUUAUCGCCGAAAGAGCGGCCCGCGUUAGAUUAGCUAGUUGGGGAGGUAAAGGCUCACCAAGGCUACGAUCUAUAGCUGGUCUGAGAGGAUGAUCAGCCACACUGGGACUGAGACACGGCCCAGACUCCUACGGGAGGCAGCAGUGGGGAAUCUUGCGCAAUGGGCGAAAGCCUGACGCAGCCAUGCCGCGUGAAUGAUGAAGGUCUUAGGAUUGUAAAAUUCUUUUACCAGGGACGAUAAUGACGGUACCUGGAGAAAAAGCCCCGGCUAACUUCGUGCCAGCAGCCGCCGUAA